rnacentral:rRNA from 1 species
UACGAAGGGCGCUAGCGUUGCUCGGAAUCACUGGGCGUAAAGGGCGCGUAGGCGGCCAUUCAAGUCGGGUGUGAAAGCCUGUGGCUCAACCACAGAAUUGCCUUCGAUACUGUUUGGCUUGAGUAUGGCAGAGGUCAGUGGAACUGCGAGUGUAGAGGUGAAAUUCGUAGAUAUUCGCAAGAACACCAGUGGCGAAGGCGGAUGACUGGGCCAUUACUGACGCUGAGGCGCGAAAGCGUGGGGAGCAAACAGG